rnacentral:rRNA from 1 species
UUCUCGGAGGAUUGACAUAUUGAGAGCUCUUUCCUGAUUCGGUGGAUGGUGGUGCAUGUCCGUUCUUAGUUGGAGAAGCGAUUUGUCUGGUGAAUUCCAAUAACGAACGAGACUCUAGCCUAUUAAAUAGGUGCGUGGUUCUCUGCACCUUGCACCUUCUUAGAAGGACAAGCGGCUCCUAGCCGCACGAAACAGAGCAAUAACAGGUCUGUGAAGCCCUUAGAU